UACGUAGGGCGCGAGCGUUGUCCGGAAUUAUUGGGCGUAAAGAGCUCGUAGGCGGCCUGUUGCGUCUGCUGUGAAAUCCCGGGGCUUAACCCCGGGCGUGCAGUGGAUACGGGCAAACUAGAGUAUUGCAGGGGAGACUGGAAUUCCUGGUGUAGCGGUGAAAUGCGCAGAUAUCAGGAGGAACACCGGUGGCGAAGGCGGGUCUCUGGGCAAUAACUGACGCUGAGGAGCGAAAGCGUGGGGAGCGAACAGG
rnacentral:rRNA from 1 species